rnacentral:rRNA from 1 species
UACAGAGGUCCCAAGCGUUGUUCGGAUUCACUGGGCGUAAAGGGUGCGUAGGUGGUGGGGUAAGUCGGAUGUGAAAUCUCCAGGCUCAACCUGGAAAUGGCAUUGGAAACUACCUUGCUAGAGGGUUUGAGGGGGGACUGGAAUACUUGGUGUAGCAGUGAAAUGCGUAGAUAUCAAGUGGAACACCAGUGGCGAAGGCGAGUCCCUGGAAAAUACCUGACACUGAGGCACGAAAGCUAGGGGAGCAAACAGG